CCUACGGGGGGCAGCAGUGAGGAAUAUUGGUCAAUGGCCGGAAGGCUGAACCAGCCAUGCCGCGUGAAGGUCAGUGCCCUAUGGGCGUUAAACUUCUUUUGUGCGGGAGCAAUAAUGGUCACGUGUGGCCAGACGAGAGUACCGUACGAAUAAGCAUCGGCUAACUCCGUGCCAGCAGCCGCGGUAAUACGGGGGAUGCAAGCGUUAUCCGGAUUUAUUGGGUUUAAAGGGUGCGUAGGGUGUGAGGUAAGUCAGCGGUGAAAUGCCCCCGCUCAACGGGGUGAAGUGCCAUUGAUACUGCCUGGCUGGAAUGCGGAUGCCGUGGGAGGAAUGUGUGGUGUAGCGGUGAAAUGCAUAGAUAUCACACAGAACACCGAUUGCGAAGGCAUCUCACGAAUCCGCGAUUGACGCUGAUGCACGAAAGCGUGGGUAUCAAACAGGAUUAGAUACCCUUGUAGUC
rnacentral:rRNA from 1 species